GGGGGUAGAGCCCAGUGGUAGGGCACAUGCCUCGCAUGCAUGAGGUCCUGGGUUCAAUCCGCAGUGCUGCCA